rnacentral:rRNA from 1 species
AUUGAACGCUGGCGGCAGGCCUAACACAUGCAAGUCGAACGAGUGGCGGACGGGUGAGUAAUGUAUGGGAAUCUGCCUGAUGGAGGGGGAUAACUACUGGAAACGGUAGCUAAUACCGCAUACCAUCGGAUGUGCCCAUAUGGGAUUAGCUAGUAGGUGGGGUAAAGGCUCACCAAGGCGACGAUCCCUAGCUGGUCUGAGAGGAUGACCAGCCACACUGGAACUGAGACACGGUCCAGACUCCUACGGGAGGCAGCAGUGGGGAAUAUUGCACAAUGGGCGCAAGCCUGAUGCAGCCAUGCCGCGUGUGUGAAGAAGGCCUUCGGGUUGUAAAGCACUUUCAGCGGGGAGGCGUUACCCGCAGAAGAAGCACCGGCUAACUCCGUGCCAGCAGCCGCGGUAAUAC